CCAGAUGCACACUGAAUGCUUUAUAUCCCUUAGGAAAGUAGACAGUCUUUGCUUUCUAAUGAUAUAAACAAAUCCAUUCCUGCUUUAGUGCCCCCGAGGAUUCUCUGUCUCAAGCUAGACACCAUUUCAGUUCUGUAGACUUGCUGUUGAGGGGCUGUAGCUACUAUAUGUAAAAUGUUGGUGUGAGAAGCUACCACGUGGCACGCACUUGUUGGAACUCAUUUUCCUAGAAGUAAGGAAGUCACAGCAAUACAUCUGGCAUCCAGCAAAUGUUCCUGCCUUUGACGCUUCUUGGUUCUCUCUCCUUUUGCAAGCCAAAGAUAAGGAUAGUAAGCACAGAAGAAGAUUUGUACUUUCCUUUUGUUAAUGUUCAAAAUUAAGCACAAGAUGAACCACCGUGGCAUAGCUACCCAGAUUCUACAUGGGUGUAUGAUCAGUGGAACCGAAUGUCCUACGUGGGCUACUG